rnacentral:ncRNA from 1 species
UGCGCGGUAUUGACUGGCCUUUCCGUAUCCGUGGGGAGAAGCCGGUGGAAUUCCGGCACGGUCGCGCCACUGUACACCGCAGCCCCUGCGGAAGUCAGACCUCCCGGCGGAAGGAACUUCAUUCCGUUACGGGACGCGCUUUCCCGACAGGAGAUCUGACCCCAUGUCCUUCAUUUC